rnacentral:rRNA from 1 species
AGUCUUCGGGACUCGGCAGACUUCUCAGUAACACGUGAACAAUCUGCCCUCAGGUGGGGAAUAAUCUCGGGAAACUGAGGCUAAUGCCCCAUAGACCUUCUCUGCUGGAAUGCUUGAAGGUUGAAAGCCCCGGCGCCUGAGGAUGAGUUUGCGGCCUAUCAGGUUGUAGUGGGUGUAAUGGACCCACUAGCCAUUGACGGGUACGGGCCUUGAGAGAGGUUGCCCGGAGUUGGACUCUGAGACACGAGUCCAGGCCCUACGGGGCGCAGCAGGCGCGAAACUUCACAAUGUGGGAAACCACGAUGAGGGGAUUCCAAGUGUCAAUGCACUGCAUUGGCUGUUCUUAUGCCUAAAAAGCAUUUGAAGUAAGAGCUGGGUAAGACGGGUGCCAGCCGCCGCGGUAAUACCCGCAGCUCGAGUGGUGAUCGUUAUUAUUGAGCCUAAAGCGUCCGCAGCCGGUCGCGUAAAUCCUUGGGUAAAUCGGGCAGCUUAACUGUCCGAAUUCCGAGGACACUGCGCAACUUGGGACCGGGGGAGGUCGGAGGUACUCUCAGGGUAGGGGUGAAAUCCUGUAAUCCUGAGAGGACCACCAGUGGCGAAGGCGUCCGACCAAAACGGCUCCGACGGUCAGGGACG